rnacentral:rRNA from 1 species
AACGAACGCUGGCGGCGUACUUAACACAUGCAAGUCGGACGAGAAAGGAGACUUCGGUCUCUGAGUACAGUGGCGCACGGGUGCGUAACACGUAAGUAAUCUACCCCGAACUCUGGGAUAACCCUCCGAAAGGAGGGCUAAUACUGGAUAGGGUCCCCGAGGUGUAGACUGCGGGGGGAAAACGGGCCUCUGUUUCAUGCUCGUGGUUUGGGAUGAGCUUGCGGCCCAUUAGCUAGUUGGUAAGGUAAUGGCCUACCAAGGCAACGAUGG